rnacentral:rRNA from 1 species
CGGGACGGGGUGGAGUAAUGUCUGGGAAACUGCCUGAUGGAGGGGGAUAACUACUGGAAACGGUAGCUAAUACCGCAUAACGUCGCAAGACCAAAGAGGGGACCUCGGGCCUCUUGCCAUCGGAUGUGCCCAGAUGGGAUUAGCUAGUAGGUGGGGUAACGGCUCACCUAGGCGACGAUCCCUAGCUGGUCUGAGAGGAUGCCAGCCACACUGGAACUGAGACACGGUCCAG